GUGCUUUUUGCAAGAUAGCUUUGAGUCUUCAGGACAAGAGGCUGCAGAAACAGUUUUAUGACUCCAGGGAGGUGCUAUCCUGUCAUCUGUGCAUGCUGUGUCCCUAAGGCUUCUGAGACUCAUACCCCAAAUCCUACAUGGAAACAUCCAGCCAGCUCUGACCAGAUAUUUUGAAACUUCCUCCUGCUCUUCUCAUGGGAGGCUUGACCGUGACCUUGGAUCAGGGUCAGUUCUUACCUGAAAUUCUGUAAAAUGGCACAGAGAGCCUUCUGUUGCCUCCUCUCUGCCCUUGACCCUUGAGCUUUUUUGAGGGUGGCAAGCCUUAUUGGUG
rnacentral:lncRNA from 1 species